GGAGCUUGCUCCACCGGAAAAAGAAGAGUGGCGAACGGGUGAGUAACACGUGGGUAACCUGCCCAUCAGAAGGGGAUAACACUUGGAAACAGGUGCUAAUACCGUAUAACAAUCGAAACCGCAUGGUUUUGAUUUGAAAGGCGCUUUCGGGUGUCGCUGAUGGAUGGACCCGCGGUGCAUUAGCUAGUUGGUGAGGUAACGGCUCACCAAGGCCACGAUGCAUAGCCGACCUGAGAGGGUGAUCGGCCACAUUGGGACUGAGACACGGCCCAAACUCCUACGGGAGGCAGCAGUAGGGAAUCUUCGGCAAUGGACGAAAGUCUGACCGAGCAACGCCGCGUGAGUGAAGAAGGUUUUCGGAUCGUAAAACUCUGUUGUUAGAGAAGAACAAGGAUGAGAGUAACUGUUCAUCCCUUGACGGUAUCUAACCAGAAAGCCACGGCUAACUACGUGCCAGCAGCCGCGGUAAUACGUAGGUGGCAAGCGUUGUCCGGAUUUAUUGGGCGUAAAGCGAGCGCAGGCGGUUUCUUAAGUCUGAUGUGAAAGCCCCCGGCUCAACCGGGGAGGGUCAUUGGAAACUGGGAGACUUGAGUGCAGAAGAGGAGAGUGGAAUUCCAUGUGUAGCGGUGAAAUGCGUAGAUAUAUGGAGGAACACCAGUGGCGAAGGCGGCUCUCUGGUCUGUAACUGACGCUGAGGCUCGAAAGCGUGGGGAGCAAACAGGAUUAGAUACCCUGGUAGUCCACGCCGUAAACGAUGAGUGCUAAGUGUUGGAGGGUUUCCGCCCUUCAGUGCUGCAGCUAACGCAUUAAGCACUCCGCCUGGGGAGUACGACCGCAAGGUUGAAACUCAAAGGAAUUGACGGGGGCCCGCACAAGCGGUGGAGCAUGUGGUUUAAUUCGAAGCAACGCGAAGAACCUUACCAGGUCUUGACAUCCUUUGACCACUCUAGAGAUAGAGCUUCCCCUUCGGGGGCAAAGUGACAGGUGGUGCAUGGUUGUCGUCAGCUCGUGUCGUGAGAUGUUGGGUUAAGUCCCGCAACGAGCGCAACCCUUAUUGUUAGUUGCCAUCAUUUAGUUGGGCACUCUAGCAAGACUGCCGGUGACAAACCGGAGGAAGGUGGGGAUGACGUCAAAUCAUCAUGCCCCUUAUGACCUGGGCUACACACGUGCUACAAUGGGAAGUACAACGAGUCGCGAAGUCGCGAGGCUAAGCUAAUCUCUUAAAGCUUCUCUCAGUUCGGAUUGUAGGCUGCAACUCGCCUACAUGAAGCCGGAAUCGCUAGUAAUCGCGGAUCAGCACGCCGCGGUGAAUACGUUCCCGGGCCUUGUACACACCGCCCGUCACACCACGAGAGUUUGUAACACCCGAAGUCGUAGAGG
rnacentral:rRNA from 1 species